rnacentral:rRNA from 1 species
UACGUAGGGCGCAAGCGUUGUCCGGAAUUAUUGGGCGUAAAGAGCUCGUAGGCGGCCUGUUGCGUCCGCUGUGAAAUCCCGGGGCUUAACCCCGGGCUUGCAGUGGAUACGGGCAGGCUGGAGGCAGGCAGGGGAGAACGGAAUUCCCGGUGUAGCGGUGAAAUGCGCAGAUAUCGGGAGGAACACCGGUGGCGAAGGCGGUUCUCUGGGCCUGUACUGACGCUGAAACACGAAAGCGUGGGUAGCAAACAGGG